CUGGAGGAAUACGGAGAUAUCAUAGUGAUCGCACUGGUUGUUCAUUUAAUCAGGUUAAUAGAAAUCAUGUUUUACGGGCAACACAGUGAGUUCAAUACUUACGUGUAUGAUAUGAUUCAUCACAAUGGUAUUUUGGGCAAAAAGGCGAUAUAUAAUUGUUUUAUAUUUGUUUUUGCCUAUCAUGCUGGCAUAUGGGCGCAGUUAUUGGCAGUUCGUUAUGUACUCAGUAAGUCAGGGGUAAUCACUAAACAAGAAUUGUAUAUUUAUCUGUGUAUUGUUUUGUUUUAGUUUUUUUGUCUAUAUGGCUUGCCAGCAAGUAAAGGAAUCAUGUUCUCAGUACACAUUAUUUUUUUAGAAAAUGGGCAUGCAUGGUUAUUUUCUAAAGUGAGAAUUGUUGGGCAGUCAAUGUGAAUGUCAAAUUUAAAG